UCAUAUCUGGCCCAUCCUCUUUUAGGGUUUGAUCUGAUACGACCACACCUGCACUUGGCUCCUCCUCCCUCACUCUUCGUCUCCUAAAGCCUCCGACCACCGCCUCUGUAACGGCAUUGGGCUUUUGAGUAGUGUAGUCUCCGGUUGUAUUUAUGUGCUACGUUUGUGGUGGGUUUAUUAAAGGCAACAUCACUUUUCCACUUAUUCAUCAUUUACUCUCCUUUUCAAUUAGUAAUCAAAUGAAAGAUUCAGUUGUUGAGAUCUUGAAGAAUCUGAGAGGAUUUUAAAUUGAGAGACGAAGGCUUUACUGGGAUGUAAAGAAGGUGAGGUAAAGGAGAAGAGAGAACGCGGUGGGAGUGAUAUUGGUGGUGAAUCUAGCUGGCAGCGAUGAAGUAGGGGACAUAGAUGAUUGCGAUCGUGGCAGUAAAUUGUCAAGAGUAAUACUGAACAGAUUUUGCCAUGUCUGCACCUGCUAAAAAAAAUUAUACAGAAGCUAAGCCAAGGAGAAAGAUCUAAUGCUUGGGAUAUGGGUUUCAACAUGGGUGGAGUUUUUGGCAAGUUAUCGUCAUCUAAAAUUGACAUAUCGGACUUUGAUUUCUCAAGCCCAGUCAGGAAAACCACAAAAGACGAAAGAAAGGUUAGGCGACUAUGAACUUCAUUCAAGCCCACGGAAGAAGGCAAACGAGAGUACGACGACCACGUCCACAGAUUCCAAACUCCAAAGAGUUCACUGCUACAAGAAGAACUGAUAUGUCUUGACUCUGUGGACAUCAUUCCAGACUUACUAACAACUAGACAAGUGGCCUCCAGGAGUCCAGGGACAAAUACCGAUGUCAAGGAAAAUGAUUCAGCUGACAACGUCUACAGAUAGUAUGAGCAGACACUGGAAACAAGCUGAUAUUAUUUCCAAUAGAGCGUGAAAUUCUCUAUGGAGAUGGAAUCACCUCAGCAUCUAACGAUGAGAGCCUCACGAGUUCAUACAAUGAGUGGAAAACUUCAGUCCGCCAACAUUUCACCAUCGAAGAAAAUAAACAGCAUCACCUCGCCAUUACAUUCUUCUGAGACUGCACAUACUGCAGGAAGUAGAGAAACCAUUCUAUGAAAUAUGUAGUUCUGCUGCGAAAGUAGAUUCUCCUAGGGAUCCAAAACAGAUUGCCAACAAUAAAAAGAUUACACCACGAGAUCAGGUUAUGAAGCAACGAGUAUAAAUACACCAUCUUCCAGCGAUGAACAGCACAGCUCACCGUAACGUCUCCUUCUCCUCUGUUUCUGAAAAUCUAGGAAUGCCAAGAAAGGUGGAAAGUUUAUGGGGAUCGAUAUAGUUCUGGUAGAUGAGAAGGAUGCAGUCUACAAUGAUCCAGUGAUGGAUUAGAGUCCACAGAGUUGAACAUGUUCCAAUGCCUACUCAGAGAGGGAGGUAGUUAUCAGCUGAGUUCAUUUGAUGUGACAAAGAGCAAUCAGUACUCUCAGAGAGCCAGAAAAUCACGGCAAGCUCAAGCUCGGCUCUUACGAGGGUACUAUGUUUCUUGUUUAGUUAGACGGACUUAGAUUAGCAGAUUGGUGCUUCCCUCCUUCAGUCAAUAGCUUAUGACCGAGAGAUUAAAGCCAGAUUUCGCGUAUUGCCCAACUCCAAUGGAACAUGGAUAGUACAUGGUAGUUUCACCUUGAAACAGACUUUCACCAGCAAUAGCUUCCAAGAAUUCGAAAGCGAAGGCGUCUCUCUCAUCACACGUGUUCUUUGAUGAUGUGGUUCCCGAAAUUUGCAUUGACACUUUGUAUCCGAUGUGGUGUAUAACCACAGCGAUAUUUCUGGAGGGGUUUCCUCGAGUCCAAAAUCUGAGUCAAAGGUGGUUGAUGCUUGUGGUGUGAACAAAUCACUGAAGAAUGUGGUUUUAAAGAAUGUGACAACAUGAUCGUCGAAGAGCUGGAGUUGGUGUGGCAUGACUCAACCAAUGGCUCGAUCAAGACUGACACUCAGUUAGAUGGCCUCAAUGGAAAUGAACCAUCUUAGUUCUAGAAGUGAAUCAGAUGCCUUUUCCAGUCAAUGAUUUAUAUAUAUAUUUUUUCUACAAAUUUGUAUACAUGCUUAAAUAUAACAGUUUCAGCUAGAAAUAAACUAAAUAAAUUUGGUUUUCAUUUUUUAA